AGUACUAUUAAUGUAUCAUCUUCUCUAUUGAUAACUCUUAAUUCGGCAGAUCUUUACAAUUUAAAUCCCAUUAAAGUAAAUCUAUAAAUAAAUUCAGAUCUUCUUUGUGAUUGUUUUUGGAAUGAGUCGUUGACGUGCAAUAAAAUUGUGGUUUUUUAGCAGUUCCAAGAAAAUCUGGUGGCGAUUCAUGCUUGAUGACUAAAAGAUAAAGCAACUAUAAAACAAGUGUAAAUCUGAAGAGAUUCAUAAGAAUAUUGUCUCUUCGCCCAUUAAGAAUAACAACAAUCAUGAAAUUUUUAACAUCGUUAGUUUUUAUUAUCGUUUCAAACGUUUUAAUAAUUUCUUCAAAUCCUAUCAAUAAUGAUAAUGAAGAAGAAAAUAUAACGGUUAGAAACGACGAUUUAUUAACUCCAAACACAUCUCCUUCAUCGGAUGAAGAAAUAAUGGAACCUGAUUCAACGAUUGUUUUCAGGCCGUUAUUUGUGUACAGACAACAACAAGCAAAAAGAAGGAGAAAUUAUCAAAGACCCUGCAGAAGAAUUGAUUACAAUAAUUAUCCUAUUUUUAAUAAUGACCGUUUUGAAUUUCCUGCAAUUUUCGGUUAAAUCACAUAAAUUCGACAGCCCAAUAAAUAAAAAAUAAUAAACUAGUGGACACAGCGAUGACGCAUUUAUUGAUAAGAUAAUUUUGUUAUUUAUAAAAGUGUGUUGUUGACUUGGAAUUUGAAUGAUGUAAUAUUAUUUUUCUGUUUAAUAUAGAAGUUUUGCGGCGGA